rnacentral:lncRNA from 1 species
AUAAAUGCAAAGCUCACAUAUAUCAUUCCCUUCUUUUCAACUACUGGAAUCAGACCUCUCUUUUCGAGUUCCGUAAGCCUCCUGUCGCUCAUAUGACCCAUCCGAUAGUGUCACAGUUUGUAGACCAACUGCUUCUCUUGUACUGCCGCCAACACCUCUGCACCAUCUGUCACCACUGAGCCUUCCAUCUCAUAGAAAUUAUUAUUCAAUCUUCUGCCCUUCAUCACCACCAAAACUUCCUUGGUGAUCCUCAAA